rnacentral:rRNA from 1 species
GACGAACGCUGGCGGCGUGCUUAACACAUGCAAGUCGAACGGAAAGGCCCUGCUUUUGUGGGGUGCUCGAGUGGCGAACGGGUGAGUAACACGUGAGUAACCUGCCCUUGACUUUGGGAUAACUUCAGGAAACUGGGGCUAAUACCGGAUAGGAGCCCCUGCUGCAUGGUGGGGGGUGGAAAGUUUCGGCGGUUGGGGAUGGACUCGCGGCUUAUCAGCUUGUUGGUGGGGUAGUGGCUUACCAAGGCUUUGACGGGUAGCCGGCCUGAGAGGGUGACCGGCCACAUUGGGACUGAGAUACGGCCCAGACUCCUACGGGAGACAACAGUGGGGAAUAUUGCACAAUGGGCGGACGCCUGAUGCGGCAACGCCGCGUGCGGGAUGACGGCCUUCGGGUUGUAAACCGCUUUCGCCUGUGACGAAGCGUGAGUGACGGUAAUGGGUAAAGAAGCACCGGCUAACUACGUG